rnacentral:rRNA from 1 species
UUGCCAGCCGCCGCGGUAAUACGGAGGGUGCGAGCGUUAAUCGGAAUUACUGGGCGUAAAGGGCGCGUAGGCGGUCGCGCAAGUCGGGUGUGAAAGCCCCGGGCUCAACCUGGGAAUUGCAUUCGAUACUGCGUAACUAGAGUCUGGUAGAGGGAAGCGGAAUUCCGCAUGUAGCGGUGAAAUGCGUAGAUAUGCGGAGGAACACCAGUGGCGAAGGCGGCUUCCUGGACCAAGACUGACGCUGAGGCGCGAAAGCGUGGGGAGCAAACAGGAUUAGAUACCCUGGUAGUCCACGCCCUAAACGAUGAGGACUAGACGUUGGGGGGAUAAAACCCUUUAGUGUCGCAGCUAACGCGUGAAGUCCUCCGCCUGGGGAGUACGGCCGCAAGGUUGAAACUCAAGGGAUUGACGG